UGCUAAACUAUCCAUGGUUGUCAUGAGAGC
rnacentral:piRNA from 1 species